UCAUUAUUGAAACAUUGUAAAGGAAGGUUGAGCUGGCUCUUCACGGGCAAGUGCUCGCUUUUCUUUCAAUCUUCAUCCACCUGUGCACUUUUUGUAGAGAAGACUGAGAAAGGACCUUGUAAAAGAGGUCUUAGUAUUGGGCUCCUCUAUGUUUUACACACUCUUGAACGUAUGUCUUUGAAUGUCUUUUAUAGGGACUUAAUUGACCCUUUAAAAACUUAUACAACUUUCAGCAACGGAUCUCUUGGCUCUCGCAUCGAUGAAGAACGCAGCGAAAUGCGAUAAGUAAUGUGAAUUGCAGAAUUCAGUGAAUCAUCGAAUCUUUGAACGCACCUUGCGCCUCUUGGUAUUCCGAGAGGCAUGCCUGUUUGAGUGUCAUUAAAUUCUCAACCUCAAAAGCUUUUUGUUUCUGAGGCUUGGAUGUGGAGGCUUGCUGGCUUGUUUAGAGUCGGCUCCUCUGAAAUGCAUUAGUAGAGACUGUUUUGUGGUCCACAUUGGUGUGAUAAUUAUCUACGCCAUUGUGGCUACAGCUCUGUAGUGUUCGCUUGGGAAGCUGCAUUUACUUGCUCUUUCUGCUUUUGAAUGACCUACACGAGUCUAGUAUCUGCUUCAAACCGUCCUAAGUCACUGGACAAUACUUGACUAUUUUGACCUCAAAUCAGGUAGGACUACCCGCUGAACUUAAGCAUAUCAAUAAGCGGAGGAAAAGAAACUAACAAGGAUUCCCCUAGUAACUGCGAGUGAAGAGGGAAAAGCUCAAAUUUAAAAUCUGGCAGUCUUUGGCUGUCCGAGUUGUAAUUUAGAGAAGUGUUACCCGCGCUGGACCGUGUACAAGUCUCCUGGAAUGGAGCGUCAUAGAGGGUGAGAAUCCCGUCUUUGACACGGACUACCAGGGCAUUGUGGUACGCUCUCGAAGAGUCGAGUUGUUUGGGAAUGCAGCUCUAAAUGGGUGGUAAAUUCCAUCUAAAGCUAAAUAUUGGCGAGAGACCGAUAGCGAACAAGUACCGUGAGGGAAAGAUGAAAAGAACUUUGGAAAGAGAGUUAAACAGUACGUGAAAUUGCUGAAAGGGAAACGCUUGAAGUCAGUCGCGUCGUCCGGGGAUCAGCCUUGCUUCUGUGAGGUGUACUUCCUGGUUGACGGGUCAGCAUCAGUUUUGACCACUGGAAAAAGGCUUGGGGAAUGUGGCACCUUCGGGUGUGUUAUAGCCCCUUGUCGUAUANCAGUGGUUGGGANCUGAGGAACUCAGCACGCCGCAAGGCCCGGGAUUCGUCCACGU
rnacentral:rRNA from 1 species